rnacentral:rRNA from 1 species
GAGUUUGAUCGUGGCUCAGGAUGAACGCCGGCGGUGUGCCUAAUACAUGCAAGUCGUACGCACUGGCCCAACUGAUUGAUGGUGCUUGCACCUGAUUGACGAUGGAUUACCAGUGAGUGGCGGACGGGUGAGUAACACGUAGGUAACCUGCCCCGGAGCGGGGAUAACAUUUGGAAACGAUGCUAAUACCGCAUAACAACAAAAGCCACAUGGCUUUUGUUAGAAAGAUGGCUUUGGCUAUCACUCUGGGAUGGACCUGCGGUGCAUUAGCUAGUGUAGUACGCUUACAAGGCAUGAUGCGUAGCCGAGUUGAGAGACUGAUCGG